rnacentral:rRNA from 1 species
UCAGGACGAACGCUGGCGGCGUGCUUAACACAUGCAAGUCGAACGGAAAGGCCCCCACCUUGGUGGGGGUGCUCGAGUGGCGAACGGGUGAGUAACACGUGGGUGAUCUGCCCUGUACUUCGGGAUAAGCUUGGGAAACUGGGUCUAAUACCGGAUAGGACCAUGGUUUAGUGUCUCAUGGUGGAAAAAUAUUGUUUUGGUGCAGGAUGAGCUCGCGGCCUAUCAGCUUGUUGGUGGGGUAAUGGCCUACCAAGGCGUCGACGGGUAGCCGGCCUGAGAGGGUGGACGGCCACAUUGGGACUGAGAUACGGCCCAGACUCCUACGGGAGGCAGCAGUGGGGAAUAUUGCACAAUGGGCGGAAGCCUGAUGCAGCAACGCCGCGUGCGGGAUGACGGCCUUCGGGUUGUAAACCGCUUUCGCCUGUGACGAAGCGUGAGUGACGGUAAUGGGUAAAGAAGCACCGGCUAACUACGUGCCAGCAGCCGCGGUGAUACGUAGGGUGCGAGCGUUGUCCGGAUUUAUUGGGCGUAAAGGGCUCGUAGGUGGUUGAUCGCGUCGGAAGUGUAAUCUUGGGGCUUAACCCUGAGCGUGCUUUCGAUACGGGUUGACUUGAGGAAGGUAGGGGAGAAUGGAAUUCCUGGUGGAGCGGUGGAAUGCGCAGAUAUCAGGAGGAACACCAGUGGCGAAGGCGGUUCUCUGGGCCUUUCCUGACGCUGAGGAGCGAAAGCGUGGGGAGCGAACAGGCUUAGAUACCCUGGUAGUCCACGCUGUAAACGGUGGGUACUAGGUGUGGGGUCCAUUCCACGGGUUCCGUGCCGUAGCUAACGCUUUAAGUACCCCGCCUGGGGAGUACGGCCGCAAGGCUAAAACUCAAAGGAAUUGACGGGGCCCCGCACAAGCGGCGGAGCAUGCGGAUUAAUUCGAUGCAACGCGUAGAACCUUACCUGGGUUUGACAUGGAUCGGGAGUGCUCAGAGAUGGGUGUGCCUCUUUUGGGGUCGGUUCACAGGUGGUGCAUGGCUGUCGUCAGCUCGUGUCGUGAGAUGUUGGGUUAAGUCCCGCAACGAGCGCAACCCUUUUCCUUAUUUGCCAGCGGGUUAAGCCGGGAACUUUAAGGAUACUGCCAGUGACAAACUGGAGGAAGGCGGGGACGACGUCAAGUCAUCAUGGCCCUUACGACCAGGGCUACACACGUGCUACAAUGGUAGGUACAGAGGGUUGCUACACAGCGAUGUGAUGCUAAUCUCAAAAAGCCUAUCGUAGUCCGGAUUGGAGUCUGCAACUCGACUCCAUGAAGUCGGAAUCGCUAGUAAUCGCAGAUCAGAACGCUGCGGUGAAUACGUUCCCGGGCCUUGUACACACCGCCCGUCAAACCAUGGGAGUGGGUUGCUCCAGAAGUAGCUAGUCUAACCUUCGGGGGGACGGUUACCACGGAGUGAUUCAUGACUGGGGUGAAGUCGUAACAAG